rnacentral:tRNA from 1 species
AGAGGAACAGCUCAAUGGCAGAGCGCAUGCUCAGCAUGCACAAGGGCCUGGGUUCAAUCCCUAGUGCCUCUA